rnacentral:tRNA from 1 species
GCCUGGUUAGGUCAGCCGGUAGAGCUUGGGACUUUUAAUCCCAGGGUCAUGGGUUAGAGCCCUACAUCGGGCG